UCCAGCGUGAUGUAGUGGUUUGCAUGUUGGACUAGGACACUGGGAAACCAGGGUUCAAAUCCCUGCUCAGCUG